rnacentral:rRNA from 1 species
GAUGAACGCUAGCGGCAGGCUUAACACAUGCAAGUCGAGGGGUAACACGGGUGCUUGCACUUGGUGACGACCGGCGAACGGGUGCGUAACGCGUAUAGAAUCUGCCUUACACAGGAGGAUAGCCUUUAGAAAUGAAGAUUAAUACUCCAUAGUAUUAUUAGAUGGCAUCGUUUAAUAAUUAAAGAUUUAUUGGUGUAAGAUGACUAUGCGUCCUAUUAGCUAGAUGGUAAGGUAACGGCUUACCAUGGCUACGAUAGGUAGGGGGUCUGAGAGGAUUAUCCCCCACACUGGUACUGAGACACGGACCAGACUCCUACGGGAGGCAGCAGUGAGGAAUAUUGGACAAUGGGCGAGAGCCUGAUCCAGCCAUGCCGCGUGCAGGAAGACUGCCCUAUGGGUUGUAAACUGCUUUUAUAUAGGAAGAAACGAGUCUACGAGUAGAUUUUUGACGGUACUAUAUGAAUAAGCACCGGCUAACUCCGUGCCAGCAGCCGCGGUAAUACGGAGGGUGCAAGCGUUAUCCGGAAUCAUUGGGUUUAAAGGGUCCGCAGGCGGUCGAUUAAGUCAGGGGUGAAAUCUCUCAGCUUAACUGAGAAACUGCCUUUGAUACUGGUUGACUUGAGUUAUAAGGAAGUAGAUAGAAUAAGUAGUGUAGCGGUGAAAUGCAUAGAUAUUACUUAGAAUACCGAUUGCGAAGGCAGUCUACUACUUAUAUACUGACGCUCAUGGACGAAAGCGUGGGGAGCGAACAGGGUUAGAUACCCUGGUAGUCCACGCCGUAAACGAUGGACACUAGUUGUUGGGCUUAUGGUUCAGUGACUAAGCGAAAGUGAUAAGUGUCCCACCUGGGGAGUACGUUCGCAAGAAUGAAACUCAAAGGAAUUGACGGGGGCCCGCACAAGCGGUGGAGCAUGUGGUUUAAUUCGAUGAUACGCGAGGAACCUUACCAGGGCUUAAAUGUAGAGUGACAGGUCUAGAGAUAGAUUUUUCUUCGGACACUUUACAAGGUGCUGCAUGGUUGUCGUCAGCUCGUGCCGUGAGGUGUCAGGUUAAGUCCUAUAACGAGCGCAACCCCUAUCGUUAGUUGCUAACAGGUCAAGCUGAGGACUCUAGCGAGACUGCCGGUGCAAACCGUGAGGAAGGUGGGGAUGACGUCAAAUCAUCACGGCCCUUACGUCCUGGGCUACACACGUGCUACAAUGGUAUGGACAAUGAGCAGCCACUUUGCGAGAAGGAGCGAAUCUAUAAACCAUAUCACAGUUCGGAUCGAAGUCUGCAACUCGACUUCGUGAAGCUGGAAUCGCUAGUAAUCGGAUAUCAGCCAUGAUCCGGUGAAUACGUUCCCGGGCCU